rnacentral:rRNA from 1 species
GACGAACGCUGGCGGCGUGCUUAACACAUGCAAGUCGAACGGAAAGGCCCUGCUUUUGUGGGGUGCUCGAGUGGCGAACGGGUGAGUAACACGUGAGUAACCUGCCCUUGACUUUGGGAUAACUUCCGGAAACUGGGGCUAAUACCGGAUAGGAGCUACUGCUGCAUGGUGGGGGUUGGAAAGUUUCGGCGGUUGGGGGUGGACUCGCGGCUUAUCAGCUUGUUGGUGGGGUAGUGGCUUACCAAGGCUUUGACGGGUAGCCGGCCUGAGAGGGUGACCGGCCCCAUUGGGACUGAGAUACGGCCCAGACUCCUACGGGAGGCAGCAGUGGGGAAUAUUGCACAAUGGGCGGAAGCCUGAUGCAGCAACGCCGCGUGCGGGAUGACGGCCUUCGGGUUGUAAACCGCUUUCGCCUGUGACGAAGCGUGAGUGACGGUAAUGGGUAAAGAAGCACCGGCUAACUACGUG